GGGAAGGCUGGAAAGAAGGGCAAAGCAGUUCAGGUUCUCAGAGGAAGCUGACAAGACUUUUGAAUUCCAUUGUAUAGGAGGCCCCUGAAGGGGGAAGGAAAGAGGAGAGCAGAAAAGGAGAGGUAGCCCAAAACUGGACUCGUGAGAUAAGAAAAAGAAACCGAGAGGAAGACAGAGUAGAGGAAUGUUUUUCUCCCCCUUGCCCCAGGGCCAAUCCUGCACAGCCUUGAGUGACUCCUGCAAAGCACAGAGCACCCUCAGAUCAUAUUAACUUCAGAAGAGGUUCUGGGGGCACCUCACCUCUCACAAUCAAGUCCUGUGUAAACUGUGUCCUCAAUGGAAGCCUCCGUCAGACACUGUUUCUCCACCAUUUUGUGUGGAAGCAAUUGACCAAGAACCCACAACUUCUUCAAGGAGCAUUUGUGAGGGAGUCAGAGGAGGCAAGAAGAAUAGGGUGGAGCUUGAGGUGUUACUAGCAGCUUAGAAA